GGUGGCUCAGUGGUAGAGUACUUGCCUUGCAUGCAUGAGGUCCUGGGUUCGAUUCCUCAGCACCA
rfam:Dipodomys ordii contig_65398, whole genome shotgun sequence.